AGUGAACGCUGGCGGUAGGCCUAACACAUGCAAGUCGAACGGCAGCACAGUAAGAGCUUGCUCUUACGGGUGGCGAGUGGCGGACGGGUGAGGAAUACAUCGGAAUCUACUUUUUCGUGGGGGAUAACGUAGGGAAACUUACGCUAAUACCGCAUACGACCUACGGGUGAAAGCAGGGGAUCUUCGGACCUUGCGCGAUUGAAUGAGCCGAUGUCGGAUUAGCUAGUUGGCGGGGUAAAGGCCCACCAAGGCGACGAUCCGUAGCUGGUCUGAGAGGAUGAUCAGCCACACUGGAACUGAGACACGGUCCAGACUCCUACGGGAGGCAGCAGUGGGGAAUAUUGGACAAUGGGCGCAAGCCUGACCCAGCCAUACCGCGUGGGUGAAGAAGGCCUUCGGGUUGUAAAGCCCUUUUGUUGGGAAAGAAAAGAAGCAGGUUAAUACCCCGCUGUUCUGACGGUACCCAAAGAAUAAGCACCGGCUAACUUCGUG
rnacentral:rRNA from 1 species